AACUCAAAGGAAUUGACGGGACCCGCACAAGCAGCGAGCGUGUGGUUUAAUUUCGUUGCUACACGAAGAACCUUACCUGGGUUUGACAUAUAGGUGUAGGGAACUGAAAAGGGACCGACCCUUCGGGGAGCCUAUACAGGUGUUGCAUGGCUGUCGUCAGCUCGUGUCGUGAGAUGUUCGGUUAAGUCCGCUAACGAGCGCAACCCUCGUCGUAUGUUAUAUGUGUCAUACGAGACUGCCGGUAAAAAGCCGGAGGAAGGUGAGGAUGAUGUCAAGUCAGCAUGACCUUUAUAUCCAGGGCUACACACACGCUACAAUGGUCUGUACAAUGGGUAGCCAAGCCGCGAGGCGGAGCCAAUCCUGAAAGCAGGCCUCAGUUCAGAUUGCAGUCUGCAACUCGACUGCAUGAAGCCGGGGUUGCUAGUAACCGCAGGUCAGCAAUACUGCGGUGAAUACGUUCCCGGGUCUU
rnacentral:rRNA from 1 species